AGGGGUUUGGUCAGGCGGGCGGCGGCAUCGGUGGUGCCGCGCAGGGCGGACAAGGCGCUUUGAGUGUUUUGAAUACGCAGAUCCAUG
rnacentral:tRNA from 1 species